UGGGGGAUAUUGCACAAUGGGCGAAAGCCUGAUGCAGCGACGCCGCGUGGGGGAUGAAGGCCUUCGGGUUGUAAACUUCUUUUGCUCUGAACAAGGCAUGCCUUUGGGGUGUGUUGAGUGUAGGGGUUGAUUAGCGCCGGCUAACUACGUGCCAGCAGCCGCGGUAAUACGUAGGGCGCGAGCGUUGUCCGGAAUUAUUGGGCGUAAAGGGCUUGUAGGUGGCUGGUUGCGUCUGUCGUGAAAGCUCAUGGCUUAACUGUGGGUUUGCGGUGGGUACGGGCUGGCUUGAGUGCAGUAGGGGAGGCUGGAAUUCCUGGUGUAGCGGUGGAAUGCGCAGAUAUCAGGAGGAAUACCGGUGGCGAAGGCGGGUCUCUGGGCUGUUACUGACGCUGAGGAGCGAAAACGUGGGGAGCGAACAGG
rnacentral:rRNA from 1 species